rnacentral:tRNA from 1 species
AGAUUUUAAGUUAAUUAAACUAAUAACCUUCAAAGUUUUAAAUAAAAAUUUAAUUUUUUUAAAUCUUAA